AGCAGAGGAUGCAUCUUGGUCCAGCCUGGAAAUAGAGCCAGUUUCUCAGGUCUCUGGGUCUGUAGCCUGGGAGUCUGAGCUGGUGAUCUGACUCUGACAAUGUGCAUGUGAAAGCCCAGUCCACGCUGCACAAGACAGUGAACCAUCAGAGGCCCAGCAGUUGCUCCUAGUAAUAUUGAAUAUCUUCAGUUCAGGAAAAACAACUUAGAAGAAGUUAACUUUCCAGUAAGGCCUGAAAGGAGCCUGUAAGGGUCAGGACCUUGGAAAAGAGAAGAGGAAAUCUGAGCUUUUCAAGAGAAAUUUUGUUAACAUACGUUUAUUUCAGUGGUCAUUCAAAGACAUUAGAGCUACUGUAGAACAAAAGUCCCCAAAAGUUUCUCUCUCAGCAAAGACCAAGCCUACAGCUUAGAAAGUUAAAAUUAAAGGAUGUAAAAUCAAAAUUUAUUUCAGAGUUCUCAUAGCACCUUAUGUGUAACUUUUACUUGUGUGUAACUUCCACAGGCAUAAUAAAAUAUUAAUGUUAUGAUUUGUACCAGGAUGCAUAGCAGGUUUUUCUAGCUUCACAGAGUUCAAGAAGGAAACCAUUAGAGCUUCUAGUCAGGAUCAUAAACCCAGUGCAGUAGGAGAAUUAUUUUUUAGGUUAGCUUAGUCAGACAUCGAAGUAGGACCUAUUUUUACUGUUUAGCAUGAAGAGAUGCCUUCUGUAAGUAGGGGUUAAGGUGAAGUGGAACAUCCACAAGCAUAACAUCUCACUUCCUUAAAAAAAAAAACCCUACUGGAGAAUACGGUUACUCUACAUGCCCUUUUCUUGCCUUAGCAUAUUGCUAAUGUUGCAUUG